GCUCCGAUAGUGUAGCGGCCAAUCAUUUCGGCCUUUCGAGCCGAGGACUCGGGUUCAAAUCCCGAUCGGAGCAC
rnacentral:tRNA from 1 species